rnacentral:rRNA from 1 species
UCAUCCACUCUACACCUGUGCACUUACUGUAGGUUGGCGUGGGCUUCGGACCUCCGGGUUCGAGGCAUGCGGCCUAUGUACACUACAAACUCCGAAGUAACAGAAUGUAAACGCGUCUAACGCAUCUUAAUACAACUUUCAGCAACGGAUCUCUUGGCUCUCGCAUCGAUGAAGAACGCAGCGAAAUGCGAUAAGUAAUGUGAAUUGCAGAAUUCAGUGAAUCAUCGAAUCUUUGAACGCACCUUGCGCUCCUUGGUAUUCCGAGGAGCAUGCCUGUUUGAGUGUCAUGGAAUUCUCAACCCAUAGAUCCUUGUGGUCUACGGGCUUGGAUUUGGAGGCUUGCCGGCCCUUACACGGGGUCGGCUCCUCUUGAAUGCAUUAGCUUGAUUCCGUGCGAAUCGGCUUUCAGUGUGAUAAUUGUCUACGCUGUGGCCGUGAAGCGUUUGGCGAGCUUCUAACUGUCCGUUAGGACAACUUCUUGACAUCUGACCUCAAAUCAGGUAGGACUACCCGCUGAACUUAAGCAUAUC